rnacentral:lncRNA from 1 species
GAGUGAUAGCUGCUAAGGCAGGGGAAUGCAGAAGGGUUUUUUUUUCUUUUCUUUUUUUUUGAGAUGGAAUCCCGCUCUGUCACCCAGGCUGGAAUGCAAUGGCGUGAUCUCGGCUCACUGCAACCUCUGCCUCCUGGGUUCAAGCGAUUCUUGUGCCUCAGCCUCCUGAGUAGCUGGGACUACAGUUGCCCACCACUACGCCCAGCUAAUUUUUGUAUUUUUAGUAGAAACGGGGUUUCACCAUGUUGGUCAGGCUGGUCUCGAACUCCUGACCUUGUGAUCCGCCCUCCCUGGCCUCCCAAAGUGCUGGGAUUACAGGUGUGAGCCACCGC